rnacentral:lncRNA from 1 species
CACACCGAAAUAUUGAUGAGUAUCUUGCUCUUGCCUUUUGUGCAAAAUGCCACUCAAGGCACUGUGCCAUCCUCUCUGCUGAGCUCACAGCAUCAGCCCACGACAAGAAAGGUCCCAGAAAACAUUGACUCACUGCAUCCCAGCAUCCUGCCAGGGGACGUGUCUGCAGUGAGAUCUCCUCAGCUGGAGCGAGGUUUAAUGGAAUGGAUCACUGUGAGGCUGUUUUACCUUCCCUGAGUGUGCUGCCACCUGUGCUGCCUGCCAGGACAAGGGCUGGGGGGCACUGGGAUCGCUGCCAGUGCUGGGCAGGACACAGCUGGAGCUGGGGGUUUGCAUGUGCAGGAGGAGCUUUCUGGAGAAGCUUUCAGAUGAAAUUGCUGAGAAUUUUUGCCUGAAGCAAGGGAUGUUUCCCAUGUUUAAGACAAGCAGUAACCUGCAGUUAGAAGGAAGAAGGGACUGAAUUCACUCCAGAAGUAUUUCUCCAGGAUCUUUUUUUCAAGGAGGCAAAAUGAUGGUUCCUGCCUUGAACUGGAAGGUUUUUAAUUGGCACGGUUUGAAGAAAUGUUGGUGAAAGCAAGAGAAAGGAGAUAGAUGCUUAAAAAAACCCUAUCUGAAUGGCACCUGAACAACCAGUUCAUUGCUGUUGAAAACUAUUUGUGGAGAGACCAGAGGAGAGGUCCUUGUCCCAGCUGCAGGAAAAACCUUAUUUAAGGGACCAAGAAAGAAGACAAAGAGGAGAAGGUGAGAUGGUCCCAGGAGGCUCUGCUUUCAGCAUAUGUCGUUUUCCGAGGCUUCUCUGUGCCGAAUGCUUCUGUGUCCCAUCUGCUACCACACCCUGAAAUCAAACUCGGCAGCUUAGGUGCACCAGGCACUGUACAAACAUGUCAGACUUGCCUCCACCCCUUUUUCUACUCCCGCUUUUUCCUGCCGUCUUUCUCUCUCAAGUUUAUCGGCGUGUCAGCGGAUUCUGGUGGCGGAGCAUUCCCACCUCACCUCUGGGCACAGAGCAAUGAGGAGUCAGGGCCCAGCAACACUGUCCUCCAAUCGGCUUUGCUGCAUGACAGUGGGAGAGUUUGCCUCCAGACCCUUCUUGCUCCUCUCCCUUGGAAUUGUCCACCACCAGCAUUGUUGCAACAGGACUGCCAGACACUAGUGCUUUAAUGCAUUUGGGGACAGAGCACUGAAAAACAGAAGAGAAAUUUGUGGUGAGUGCAAGCUCUUGGGUGAGGCUGGGGGAUGUAUGUAGAGUAAGAGACAUUUGCUGAGUCUUCCCCUGCAUUUCUGAGUUCUGUGCUUGGGUAAAACCUGAGUCAGCCCUUACACAGCUGCUGGGGAAGGGAACCUGCUGCCUGACUCUCCCUCCAGCCCUGUCCCACUGGAAAGUCUCAUUCCUGAAGUGUGAUGAAGCUGUAUAUUGAUGUUGAUAUUCCGUGCUGCCUUGGUAUGGACAUGGUGUGUGCUGUGGGAGCAAUGGCUUUUGUACCCAGUAGCAAAGCUGACC